ensembl:lncRNA
AUGUUCGUCUGGAGCCCUGAACUAAUGUUUGAGGCUCUUGUUGUUUGGUGGAUUGAGUGUUUCUUUGGUUUACUGUUGGGUUUUCAUGGAUUUAGUUUUUGGGGGCUUGUUGUUUUUGGGGGUUUAGUUGUUUUGGAUGUUUUCGGGGUGUUAGCGUUUAGAGGUUUAGGGUGGUAUUUUGAGGGUUUCAUAUUUAUCGGUUUAGUGUUUGAACAUUUUAGUAUUAGACUUGGGGUUUGUUUUUCAGGGUUUAUUUUUUGGGUCAGUAUUUGAGGGUUUAGUAUUCAUGUUUGAGCUGAACUGUCAGAGUUUAAUGUUCAUUUUGUAUUUGGUUCAGGUAUUUGCUGUUUUAUGGGUGUUUUGUUGGGGGUGUUUUUAGGUGAUAUUUUGGGUGUUUAUCACUGGUUGGUUUAGUCUUUGAGGGGUUUGGUUAGUAAUAGAUCAGUAUGUAAAUCACCAUCAUUAACAGAAGCAGUCCUUUGUGUUGGUUCUUAACUCUACAUAAGUGUUCAGUUGCUGUCGUUGACGUUAAUAUCAGUAUUUACUCACCGGUCAGUCAUUUCUCUGAUUGACUCUCCUGUAGUUUGGGUGUUCAGGGCUGGUUUGUGUGGGUUCAGGGUUUUAGUGUCGCAGUAUUUUGACCGAUGGAGUUUGAGGAUAUAUAUGGAGAGAGACACCAGGUUCAUUUCACAUGUGCUCAGAAACUCAGCAGUUCGUCUGCACUUUACCAUGACUGAUGUUUACUAGCGGCUUAAGGCUUUAGCAGCGAGUGUUUAGAUCUCAAACGUCCCCGAGCAGCUGGUUUGGCUCAGGGGUCGCGUCUGCCUGUGACCUUUGACCCCUCACACGCACACGAGUGUAGACGCGGCAUCAGGAGCCGGAGGUUUGGAUGUCAUGUGACUUUCUCUAAGUUCUCAGGGCAUGUUGUGUUUUUUUGGUGUUUACUCUCGGAUGGGAAACUAGAAACAGCCAGUCACAGCCGUUAAUGCUGAGCAGAUGACACACAGGAAGUUUGAGGACGUUUGUUAUUCUUGGCCUAAAUUAGAGUUUCUCAGACCAGGGUUUGAGGAGAUUAGAAUAGUGACGAAUUAACUCAACAAUGUUAUAGCUGCUAAAGAUUAAUUAACUCUGGAGUUCUGAUAAAUCUGACUCAAAUAAGGCAACACUUCUGAUUUUUGUUCAAGCUUUCAGUUUAGGGUUUUUAUCAUUUGACAGCCCUAGGAAAAAUAUGAAUAGUUUUAGUCAUUUUUGUACUGUAACCUAGACUUGAACAGAAAUUUAAAACGUUUAAGUUCAAGUUUUAAACAAAAUUAAAGAUACUCCUGUUUUUUCAUUAAUUGAAAUAAAGAUUUUUUUUCAUAUAUCUUUACA